UACGGAGGGUGCAAGCGUUAAUCGGAAUUACUGGGCGUAAAGCGCGCGUAGGCGGUUUGAUAAGUCGGGUGUGAAAGCCCUGGGCUCAACCUGGGAAUUGCAUUCGAUACUGUCUGUCUAGAGUAUGGUAGAGGGAAGUGGAAUUCCAGGUGUAGCGGUGAAAUGCGUAGAUAUCUGGAGGAACAUCAGGGGCGAAGGCGGCUUCCUGGACCAAUACUGACGCUGAGGUGCGAAAGCGUGGGGAGCAAACAGG
rnacentral:rRNA from 1 species